rnacentral:lncRNA from 1 species
CCCGCUGAUACGUGUAAAGGGUGCGUCUCAGACCAGGACUGUCCUCCACCCAAGAGUUGUUGCCCCAUUGGCUGUGAGGGGAAGACGUGUCAGAACACAUUUGGAGGACCAUGUUCUUUUGAUCUCACUCUUGUAAGGUGUGCUGCUCCGGCGUGCUUCUCUGACAUGGACUGUAUAGAUGACCUGAAAUGCUGCUCCAAAGACUGCAGAGCACAGUGUGUGAAACCUGAAGGCAACCCGUGUGACGACUGUGUCACAGACAGAGACUGUAAAGGACGUGGCCAGACAUGCUGCUUCGAUGGCUGUAAUAAGAAGUGUAUAACGACACAAGGAAAACCGUGUCCCCCUCCAAUGAACAGGCCCUGUCACAAGUGCAAGACUGACGAAGACUGUAAAAGAUGUGAGACAUGCAAAUCUGACGGCUGUUGGAACAAGUGUGUGAAGCAAGAUAUUGCUGUUCCGAGGCCGUGUGAUAAAUGCGCCUCAGACUGCGACUGUAAAGAAGGCUACAAAUGCUGCUUUGACGGCUGUAAGCAGACGUGUGUGCGACAC